rnacentral:rRNA from 1 species
CAGUAGCCGCGGUAAUACGUAGGUGGCAAGCGUUGUCCGGAAUUAUUGGGCGUAAAGCGCGCGCAGGUGGUUUAAUAAGUCUGAUGUGAAAGCCCACGGCUCAACCGUGGAAGGUCAUUGGAAACUGUUAAACUUGAGUGCAGGAGAGAAAAGUGGAAUUCCUAGUGUAGCGGUGAAAUGCGUAGAGAUUAGGAGGAACACCAGUGGCGAAGGCGACUCUCUGGUCUGUAACUGACGCUGAGGAGCGAAAGCGUGGGGAGCGAACAGGAUUAGAUACCCCGGUAGUCCCUGUCUCUUAUAC